GUUGGCUGCUCUGUGUCUCCUGCUCCUGCAGACAGGAGCUUUUGGGUUUAGGAUCCUACUUGAUGUAAACUCUCUGAGUCAUCAGGAAAUCACUCAGAUAGCGAUCUUAAAUAUCACCGUGCAAGUGUGCCGAGCUCUGACCUCCGCAGCAUUUUACGGCCAAGUCUGUUGCUGAUACCUGUCAAGCAAAUUCAUCCAACAGCUUCAUCCAAACGAUCAGUUUAAUCCAAGAUAAAAAUCGAGAUGUAGACCUUCAGCAUUUGUCUGACCCACCCUAUCACUUUGACCAUGAGAAAUUUUCCGGGGGAGAAGAAAAAUCAUCACAGAUGGAUUAUCAGCUGUGAAAGCCAGCAACAAGUUAUAGAACUUUGGGGCAGCAAGAGAACAACUGGGCACAAUCUUACACACUUUACAGGAUUUCUACAGUCAUAGCAACUGGGUGGAAAUGGAAAACACACUCCCAAACUCCAAUCUGAUCAGAUCAGACACCAGCAUCGGUAACAUUGCAGCUGAAAGCAGAGCAACCUGUCACAACUGUAAUGUAGACGACUGCACAAACAACAUUUUGGAGGACAUCCUGCAGGAAAUAUUACUUAACUCUGGAUAUACUGGUGUUUCCAAACCAAAUGGGUCUAAGCUGCUUCUGAUGGUGGCUGCACAUCUGCUCGUACUGGCUGAGGCUGGAUGUGGAUCAACUGUGUUAGUACUGACUGACUAGCUAGUACUGGCUGACGAUCCAGCGUCUACUCUACUGACAAACUUAAGCAUAGCCCUUGUAAAUUAUAGAUAAUAAUGCUUGCUCAUCUCCUUUAAUUGGAAAAUGCAGCCAUAGAGGUACGCAUGAUAUAUCAAGUACAAUUGAGCCUAAAGGUGGGAUCAACAAAGACACGUUAAGCUCGAACCAUGGACAUCUCCACAUUACAGCAGCAGAUUUGGCGAUAUCUGCAACCAGUGAGCUACUAGAGGACGUUCGAAAGGCUGCUGGUGACCGAGUAUUCCUACAGUAUGUAACCCCCAUUCUGCAUGUUUCAGUUAUGUACACUACUGUAAGAAGACAAAGGGAUUUAAUCUCUAUUUUAUAUGUCUCUCUCCAUUCCUUAGGAUGAUAGGAAUCUCCAAAGGCUCCAGUAACGCUCUUUGUAUGUUGUUGUUUUGGUUUAUGGUGUGUGUAUGUGCAUACUUAACACUGUAGCUGAGCUGAUUUGUUUAAGCUGUUCUGUGUAUAUAACGAGAGCAAUGUAAUCAAAUUCCUCAUAUGUGUGCACAUACUCUGCCAUUACAGCUGAUUCAGAUUCUUAGGUCUUGAUUGAAAUAAAGCAUGA